rnacentral:snRNA from 1 species
GUGCUUGCUUCAGCAGAACAUAUUUUCAAAUUGAAACAACAGAGAGAAGAUUAGCAUGGCCCCCAUGCAAGGAUAAUAUGCAAAUUCAUGAAGCCUUCAUAUAUUUU